CCAAGUAUCCUCUAACUUAUUAAGGUAAUAUAUCCGCUGAUACAUCUCUUACAUAUAUACUCCAUUAAUUUAUUUGGCAUUUUCCGGUAUAGCUCCACAAAAAUGUUAACACUAUAACCAUCUCUCAUCUUCUUAUUAAGCUCAACAACAAAUCCAUUCCUAAGAGAAUUACAAUAAUCCAAAAAUCGAGCCUUAACGUCGUAGCCUUGAUCCCACCGGUCGGUCACCGUGCCCGGGCUGCCCCCAAUGGCUCGGCUAGGCACAAACCCUGCCUUCAGCCUCACGAAAUCCGCAACCCCUUCAAUCAAUCCCCUCGGAGCUCCGCAUUUGCCGACGUUCCACUGCCAAAUAUGCGCCAUUUUGUGAUCCUUAACAUUGCCGGAGUAACUUCCUAUGUACUUUGUGCUUAGGUGAAUUUCAUUGCUUGAGGUGUAAGCAAUGCCCUAGGCUCCAUAUCAUCAUCAAUGAAUAAGGUCACUUGAUCGACGUUCUUCCGGCCUGCCUUGGUAUUCUGCUGGAAUAUCCUCCAUAUGAAACUGGAGUGAGGUUUUUAUGGUGUAGGGUAGGCCAAUUUCGCUAGUGAAUCGGACACCUCCGUCCGUGGGUGGUUUCUUCCGGCCAAGUUGGUGACUGUGUAUUUGAUUGCAUGGCUUCCUUGUAGGGCUGCCAUAUAAAUCAUUGAAAAUGGAUUUGCGUCAAAGAUUUUUCUUCAAAGAUUUGGAGCCGGCGACGGCCCAUGUUACCCGAAGUUGUUUUAAGGUAUAUACUUUAGCCCUUUAAAAUUUAAAAAAGGGAGCACUAUUUUCACGUUUUUUGAUAUUUAUUUUUUUAUACGAAGGUGAGAUUCACUGUAUACUCAUACAAGAGAUAAUAAUAUAAAAAAUAUUAAAAAUGCAUAUAAAAAUAUCAGUUCUCUGCUCUCUAAAGUUUAUAUAUGUAAUACUUUUUACUUUUAAAAAUAAAUUUACUUUUUAAGUUGAUUCCUAAUUAAAACAUACUUAUAACUUCAGUUAUGAGUAUUAGUUAUCUUUUUAUGGUAAAUAUAUAACUAUAAAAGUUAGCAAGAUUAAAAUUCUUGGGCACCUUUAUGUAACACUUAUCAAUCACUUAACAAAAAUGUAUCUAAGACACAAUGGCUGCAAAGUGAAUUAGACUUGAGUGGAUCAAUACCAAAAAGAUAUCUUUAAUGCCAAUACGGAAAUCCCUCUCGCCCUCCACCUUCACUGGUAUUGAUAAGUCUACUUUCAAAGUCUACUUUCAAAUAAAAAUGCUCAUAUAUUACUCACGUGGGUCAUUAAAAUAUGCAUAUAAGUGUAUGUGAGCGGUUUUAUGUGAUAAUAAAUUUAUUUUAUUGAUAUUUAUGAACUUCAAAUUAUGAUUUAUAUGUAUUCAAAUGUUUUUUUAUUAAAUAUUAAAUUGAUGAACAUUAAAUAAUUAAAAUUAUUUUAUUAAAAAAUUGUGAAAAAGUAUUUAUAUAGUAGUAUUAUUAUUAGACUGAAUAUUUAUAAUUAUUAAGUAAAAUUGUCCCACAUAAUUAAGCAAGGUUAGAAUCAUGGGAAAUCUAUUCAUUCAGAUAUUUUAAAUAGAUGAAUUAUUAAACAUGUUUUUUUCAUUUAGUGUUUAAUUUCAAACAGAGUGUUUACUUUAUUCAGUUCAUUCUCUCUUAUUUGAUAUUUUCCCAUUUGAAACUAAGAAAAAUGCUUCGAAAAUCAAGUUUACACUCCGAUAUUCAUGCAUGCUUUUGAUAUAUAAAAACUAUGAGACAAAUAAUCCAUACAACCAAAUUUCCUCUAAUUUAUUUAGGUAAUAUAUCCACUAAAACAUCUUUUACGUAUUUUCCCUUAAUUUAUUUGGCAUAGUUAGCCUUGUACUCACUCCAUAGCUGAUCAACCGUCUUUCCCAACAGCUCAACAAAAAAGUCAACACUAUAACCAUUUCUCAUCUUCUUAUUAAGCUCAGUCACAAACCCAUUUCUAAG
rnacentral:lncRNA from 1 species